rnacentral:rRNA from 1 species
CCUACGGGUGGCUGCAGUAGGGAAUAUUGGACAAUGGGUGCGAGCCUGAUACAGCCAUGCCGCGUGCAGGAAGAAGGCGUUAUGCGUUGUAAACUGCUUUUGCCAGGGGAUAAAAUAACUGUGCGCAGUUGAUUGAAGGUACCUGGUGAAUAAGCCACGGCGAACUACGUGCCAGCAGCCGCGGUAAUACGUAGGUGGCAAGCGUUGUCCGGAUUUAACGGGUGCGAAGGCUGCGCUGGCGGCCAGUGGAGAAAUAUCUCAGCUUAACUGAGAGGGUGCCAUUGAUACUGCGGGGCUUGAGUACAGAUGAGGUAGGCGGAAUUGACGGUGUAGCGGUGAAAUGCAUAGAUAUCGUCAAGAACACCGAUAGCGAAGGCAGCUUACCAAGCUGUAACUGACGCUGAGGCACGAAAGUGUGGGGAUCAAACAGGAUUAGAUACCCUGGUAGUC